UACGUAGGGUGCGAGCGUUGUCCGGAAUUAUUGGGCGUAAAGAGCUCGUAGGCGGUCUGUUGCGUCCGCUGUGAAAACUCGGGGCUUAACCCCGAGCCUGCAGUGGAUACGGGCAGACUAGAGGUAGGUAGGGGAGAAUGGAAUUCCCGGUGUAGCGGUGAAAUGCGCAGAUAUCGGGAGGAACACCGGUGGCGAAGGCGGUUCUCUGGGCCGGUACUGACGCUGAGGUGCGAAAGCGUGGGGAGCGAACAGG
rnacentral:rRNA from 1 species